GUCCGCACGGUAAACGAUGAAUGCUCGCUAUGGGCGAUAUAUUGUCCGUGGCCAAGCGAAAGCGUUAAGCAUUCCACCUGGGGAGUACGCCGGCAACGGUGAAACUCAAAGGAAUUGACGGGGGCCCGCACAAGCGGAGGAACAUGUGGUUUAAUUCGAAGCAACGCGAAGAACCUUACCAGGGCUUGACAUAUACAGGAAUACUUAAGAAAUUAGGUAGUCUUUCGACACUUGUAUACAGGUGGUGCAUGGUUGUCGU
rnacentral:rRNA from 1 species